rnacentral:rRNA from 1 species
UACGUAGGCAGGAAGCGUUGUUCGGAAUUACUGGGCGUAAAGAGUGUGUAGGCGGUGAUCCAAGUCUGGUGUGAAAUCUCCCGGCUUAACUGGGAGGGUGCAUUAGAAACUGGAAUGCUAGAGGAUGGGAGAGGUAAGCGGAAUUCCUGGUGUAGCGGUGAAAUGCGUAGAUAUCAGGAGGAACACCUGUGGUGUAGACAGCUUACUGGACCAUUUCUGACGCUGAGACACGAAAGCGUGGGUAGCAAACAGG